rnacentral:rRNA from 1 species
CUACGGGGGGCUGCAGUGGGGAAUAUUGCACAAUGGGCGCAAGCCUGAUGCAGCCAUGCCGCGUGUAUGAAGAAGGCCUUCGGGUUGUAAAGUACUUUCAGCGGGGAGGAAGGGAGUAAAGUUAAUACCUUUGUUCAUUGACGUUACCCGCAGAAGAAGCACCGGCUAACUCCGUGCCAGCAGCCGCGGUAAUACGGAGGGUGCAAGCGUUAAGCGGAAUUACUGGGCGUAAAGCGCACGCAGGCGGUUUGUUAAGUCAGAUGUGAAAUCCCCGGGCUCAACCUGGGAACUGCAUCUGAUACUGGCAAGCUUGAGUCUCGUAGAGGGGGAUAGAAUUCCAGGUGUAGCGGUGAAAUGCGUAGAGAUCUGGAGGAAUACCGGUGGCGAAGGCGGCCCCCUGGACGAAGACUGACGCUCAGGUGCGAAAGCGUGGGGAGCAAACAGGAUUAGAUACCCCCGUAGUC